UUGAUUAUAUAAGAUCAAUUGAUAACAUAGCGGAUCCUUUGACAAAAAGUAUCCAUCGAGAUCAAAUGUAUAAACUGUUAGGGGGAAUGGGUUUGAAGUCCACAAAUUAAGGAUAAUCAUAGUGGCAACCCAACCAUGAUGACUGGAGGAUCCCAAGAACUUGGUUCAAUGGGACAACUAAGCUAUGAAAAUCCGUGUGUUGAACACUCGAAUUGCCUAUUCCUUGUAGAACAGUGAGUGUUCGGAAACCUGCACGUGGUGAGGUUAAGUCUUUGACUUUUAAUGACUCUAGAACUCCUCGAAGAGGACAAGUAUAGCAGGAUACUUGAGUUAAGAGUCACCUAUGUAAGUGUGAAGUGGGGCCGCUUCGAUUGAAACACUUAUGAAUCCAAAGAGGUGUUCCAAGGCCUGUAAUGGACACAAACGUGAGAACGAAUAAGGAUUGAAUCAAUAUUGUGUCAAUAUUGUUGACUAAGUAUACACCGAGGAGGACUAGUUCAAGGAACACAAUCCACUAGGCCGCCGGUAUACUCGAUAAUAUUGACUAUGGCAGGUUCAAAGCCACAAGCUACCUUUCCAAAUGCAAUGUUGUUACUUAAGAGAACUGAGCUAAAUGUCUGCAUACAUACGCAUACUGAUUUCUCACUCAUGUGGGGGAUUGUUGGAAAUAUGGUUUUAUGCCAAAUCUGAAAAUUAUUAUUUAAUUAAAUAUUAAUUAUUUAAUUAAAAUAAUAAUUGGAUGUUAAUCUACAUCUCGAGUAGAUCAACGUGAUAUACUUGAAGUCUCAAAACCGAUUUCCGGUGAGUGAGAUAUUGUAUGUCAAAGUUUGGAUGUUGAAGAGGGAAAAUCAGUUUCAACUUCUGCGUUCAACGAUUGCGGCCACCUACCGCAGCCGCCGGAAUUGACUGUUUCAACUUCUGCGUUCAACGAUUGCGGCCACCUACCGCAGCCGCCGGAGUUGACUGCCGAUCCGUUCACACUCGGUUUAACACCUAUAAAUAUGGUUCGCCGGAGCUCGCCGGAUUGUGGUGCUACAUCCGCCGAGACGAAGUCGUUUUACCUUUGGGGAAGAUACGCCAAACCGAAGAGCACUACCGGGGCGAUAAUCUUCUUGCGGGAAGAGAUUCAUCUCGACUCGACUUAGUUUAUACGUAUAAUUUAUUUAUACAGUAUAUUUCAGUUGUAUACAUUUAUUUGAGUUGUAAUUUCUCAAAUUAUUUUCUUUGUAAUAUUUUCAAUUAUUUUGAGUUGUAAUA